GCACAAAGUUCCGGUGAAGCCCCAGGGCAAAGCGCGGCUCCUGAGGAGGAGACAGGAUCUCAACAGCAGGGGAAGACACGGGAGGUGCUCUCUGGCUCCUAAGACAGCAUUUCUGUAUUAUAAAUGGCCUGUCCAAGGAGUUUCAGGAGGAGGAGCCUAAAGUGCGGUGACACAACAGUCAAGAGCACUACUGAGACAGUGAAGGAACCGGUGAAUUCCUCAUCCUCCAGCAAACCACCAGUUAUGGUCUAUACAAACCCUCUGACAGAUUGUUUCACUGAGUUAACUUGCACAUGUCCAUAUAACCACAGUGCUUGACCUCAAGGAGUGGAAAACAAUUGUAUUCAAGAGCCUGCUAGGCACUCUGGGUUGUCACAGCAGGCAGAGUGACCUCCUGAUCUCCAUUGUCGAAGGGUCUCGGAAAACAAUGAAACAAUGCCCACAAAGAGAGAGUGUUAUUGCCAGUGUGACGGGACGCCUUCAUCACCCUCAGAUGCACGCACUGUCCCAGGCAAAACAGUGCACAAACAGAGACCUUUUUCCAAGUCAUCCAGGAAGGGAUGGCACAAGCCUUUGGCUUUGAGAAAAGACUAUUAAGCAGUAAAAACCAUAAUUCAAAAGGACUGUUGUGAAGAUUAGACACGGAUAUGCAAGAAAGCACAGUGCCGGCCACAUGUGAGUUGCCCCUACACCUACUUGAGAAAUAGCCUUUUGCCUGGUUUUCCUGUGUACCACAACUGUGUUCCUAGGACAAAGCCCUAGAAGUGGCAUUACAGAAUCAAAGGGUAUGAACACUUUCAAAGGUUUCAAUAUUACUGUGUUCCCUUCCAGAGAAGAUGUAAUAAUUUAUACUUCCCUAUCAUUUAUGCAUUUUCCCAUACCCUCACCAACAUCUGGCAUCAUUUUUUUUUAAUCUUGACAAGUUCAUAGGUCAAAAAGUUUCCAUUAACAUUUCUGUGAAUGCUGAUGAUGCUAAAAUUUUUUCACAUCAAUAAUCAUUUCUAUUUUUUCUUCUCUGAAUCACUUAUUGCUUAUUGUGAUGGGUUCUUUUCUUCAAUUUUUGUACUUUUCUCCAGUGCAAACCUCUUUUUCUUCAUCAUUGGGAAGUAUUUCAAGUAGAGUGAAGCGAGACCUCCUUAAUCUGUAAUGUUCUAAGUGUCCUCUGGCCCUCAGGGUGUCUCUACCUUCUUGAAGAUCAGAAAUCUAAUUUUCAUGCAGACAAACCUAUCAACUGGGUUUUUUUAAUUUUUAUUUAUUUAUUUUUUUAAAGACUUCUUUCCACUUUCAAGUUUGGAAAUGCCUUCUCCAUUUUGAAAUCCAAUGGCCAACUACGUUUUAUUCUUGUAUUUUUAGGUUUUACCUUACCCCUUUUAGCAAUAAUCCAUUUUAGAAUAUGAUGGAAGUUUACACUAAACUGUAAUAAGACAGAAAGCUAUCCAUAAAACGAAUUCUCUCUCUGAAAAUCAAAAUACUUAUGGGUAAUUAACAUUUACAGAGUGCUUGUUUAAAAACAAAAACAGGAUUUGAUGAAUGAUCUGUAAAUCCUAUCUUUUGACUGCGUAAGUGUGAUGAAGUCAAGAUCACUUUCAUUUUGACUUAAUGGAGACAAAAGACUAGACUCUAAACUUGGACACAUGCUCAAUUUCUUCCAGCCAGAAACUCUUUAAAUGGUGCAGACUGUUCAAAGGUCCUAUCUUACCUCAGGGCCACAUGUGGAAAGGCUGGACUGCGUCCGUAUGCCCUGAGUGGCCAUGCUUUCCUUGGCCUGUGGAACGAUAGUGAGCAGGCUCUCGGGGGACACAUCUCUGCAGCCCAUUCUACCGACUGCUAGCUAUGUGAGGCCUGCUAAGGAAGGCUUUCCACCAGCUUUUGCUUCUUCAUCUGGAAAAUGAGGAACUCUCACUUACAACCUCAAAAGCUGUUGUGAGGAUUCAUGGAGUUAACAAACACGACAGCACCGAGUACGGGACGUGGCAUCUAGAAAAAAAGAACGUUGGCUGUCUUGCCUGGGCAGAAGACUGGAAGACGGUGGGUGUAGUGUCACGAUGAGGGGAGAGAAAGAGAAGCCAAGCAAAGCUCAGACACCCUGGGAAGGGCCCUAGGAAAACAAGAACCCGCAAGUUCUGGCUGGUGGGAUGGUAGAUUUGAAAUUAUCCCAAGAAAAAUAAAACAAAAUAAUAAAAAAAUAAACAAAUAAAAUUAUCCUAAGAGAAACAUUGGAAAGGGUCAAAACAG